rnacentral:rRNA from 1 species
GAGAUGCUCGAGGGCGCCUCGGAGACGGUGUCGAGCCGGGCGGGGAGGUCGGUGCCCGGCGAACACGUCGUGUAGUGGCAGCCGUUGAAGACCGACGGGUACGACUUGGGCGCCCCGUCGGUCGGCACCGAGCCGUCCGCCUGGCUGACCCGGAAACCGGUGCCGGUGGCGGUGACGCACUGGGUCGCGCUGGUGCCCCAGCGGUUGUUCUGGACGACGUACCGUCCCUGGAUCGUCGUCGUCCCGAACGGCUCGCAGACGGUGGUGUCCGCCUGGGCCGGCGCCGCCGCGGUCACGAGCGACGCCAUCACCGCCAGGGUGGCGAGCAGCGCUCCCGAAAUGCCGCGCAGGGUGCGGACUUGGGGCCGUAACGGUCGCAUGGGGGCCUCUCCGGAAGGGUGCGGGGGAAGGAGGGGCCGGUGCGGGAGCGCUCCCGACUCCCCACUGCUGGGAGCGCUCCCACUUACCGGUUGCAGGGGACUGUAGAAGCGGUUCAUGUUCCUGACAAGACUGUGCGCGCGAGCGUCGUCGAAGAGAGUUCGAAGCGCCAGGUGAGAGCGGUGCGGCCGGGAUCGGCCGCCGGGAGCGCUCCCGAAAGCUCCUCCGGAGCGGCCGGGUCAGGCGGACUCGCGGAGGACCAGCUCCGUACGGAGGAUGACGUGCCGCCAGGCUACGGGCGAGUCCUCCAUCUCCUCGAGCAGGAGCCGCACCAUGGUCCGGCCGAUCUCCCCCAGCGGCUGCCGGACCGUCGUCAGGGGCGGCUCCGCCGGACGGGCGGGAUGGAAGUCGUCGAACCCGAUCACCGCCACGUCCUGCGGCACCCGCCUGCCCGUCGCGCGCAGCGCGCUCAGCGCCCCCGCGGCCAGGGUGUCCGAGGCGGCGAAGACCGCGUCGAUACCGGGGUGCCGGGCGAUCAGCUCGGUCAUCGCCCGGCGACCGCUCUCCUCCGUGAAGUCGUCGCCCUCGACGACCAGCGAGUCCCUGACCGCCCUGCCCGCCUGCUCCAGGGCCUCCCGGUACCCGCGCAGCCGGCACUGGGCGACGUACAUGUCGAGCGGUCCGGUGAUCGCCCCGAUCGUGCCCCGGCCGCCGUUCAGCAGGUGCGUGACCGCGCCCCGCGCGCCGCCGGCGUUGUCCGCGUCGACAUAGGUGACGCUCUCGUCGCCGGAGCGCCGGCCCAGCAUGACGGUCGGCAGUCCCGCCUUGGCGAGCAUGUCCGGCAGCGGGUCCUCGGCGUGCACGGACAUCAGCAGUACGCCGUCGACCCGGCCGCCUCGCGCGUACUCCACCAAGCGCUGCCGUUCGGCGUCCGUGCGGACCAGGGUGAGCAGCAACUGCACCGGAGUGUCGGUGAGGGCGUCACCGACGGCAUGCACGAUCUCGGUGAAGAACGGUUCCCCGAACAGCCGCCAGUCCGGCUCCGUCAUGACCAGUGCGACGGCGUCCGCGCGGUGCCCGGCCAACGAACGGGCCGCCAGGUUCGGGACGUACCCCAGUUCGGCGAUGGCCCGCUGCACGGCGCGGCGGGUCGAAGCCCGUACGCCCGCGGCGUUGUUGAUGACCCUCGAGACGGUGCCCCGGCCGACACCGGCGAGGGCGGCCACCUCCUCCAACGUGGGCGUACCGGGACUCCGCCUGCCCAUGCGCGCCUCCCCCCGACGAGAUCGUCCGAUACUACGGUCACUUUCCCGGCCGGGCCGACCGAUCGGGGAGGGUGCCGGGAACUCCGGGCGGCCCGGUGACAACGCCGUGAGCGCCGCGGGCCGCCCGUGGAGAACCGGCGGACCGAGGCGGUCGCCCGGCCGUCAGUCGUCCAGCCGGACCGGCAUGAGCAGCGCGAACGUCGUCUCGUCGUCCGUCCGGCGGAUCGCCACGGGCGCCGUGGGGGCACCGAACUCCAGUACCAGCCGGUCCCGGUCCGCGGCGGCGAUCGCGUCCAGCAGGAACCCCCGGUCGACGGCGACGCCGCUCCCGUCGUCGUCGCCGUCCCCGCACACGGUGACCGUGCCGUCGUCCGCCACCCUGAGCACACUGACGUCACGGGAGGCGUCACCCGGCUCGCGCGCCGUGCCCGAGCGGACGGGACCGGUCUCCAACGCCUCACGGAAGGCGGCCGCUUCGACGACGGCCUGCCGACCGGACGGCAGGUGGACGAGCCUGCGGUAGUCCGGGAAGUCAUGGGCGAGGCACUGCCCGGCGGCCUGGCGGUCCCCGGCCACCAGCGUCACCCGGUCGCCCUCCACGGUGAGACCGACGGGCUCGUCCCCGCCCAGCAGCGCGCGCAUCGCCUCGGCGAGCGGGACGGGCACGGUCACCUGCACGCGCGGCCCGCCGUGACCGGCGGCGCCGAUCCGCGCGACGGCCAUCCGGUACCGGUCGGUGGCCACGAGGUGGAGCGUUCCGCCCUCCACGUCGAACAGGACACCACCGAGCAUCGGCAGAGCGGGGUCGGCGCUCGCCGCGUAACGGACCGCGUCCAGCGCGGCGGCCAGUUCGGGCGCGGGGACGGACAGCCGGGCGGUGGUGGUGCGCGGUGCGGUGGUCAUGGGGUUCUCCCUCUGGUCGAGCAGUGUCCGGAGCGCGGAGAACUCGCCGCGGGCAUCGGUCAGCCCGCGUUCGAGGCGGCGCAGGUGCGCCUGGAGGAGCCCGCGUACCAGGUCGGUGUCCGUACCGGACCAGCCGGCCAGCACCAGCCGGAUGUCCGCCAACGGCAUGCCGGCCCGUCGCAGCCGCGCCAGCAGCCGGGCCUCGUCCAGCUGUUCCGGCGCGUACCAGCGGUAGCCGCUCACCGGAUCCACCCAGGCGGGCACCAGCACACCCGCACGGUCGUAGAACCGCAGGGCGCUCGCGCCCAGUCCGCUGUCGCGAGCCAUCUCUCCAAUGCUGCGCAUCUCGCUCUCCACGUCCACGACUCUGAGCCCUUGACCAGGUCGAGGGUCAAUCCCGGCCGCCGCCGGGCCCACGACCGUCCCGGCCGUCUGCCAUUCUUGCGGCGUGCAGAAGCCCACCCCCGUGACUCCCGACGCCCCCGCGGCCAUGAGGGCACCGCUCCUCACCCAGGAAUGGCUCGACCCGGCCUUCGUCCACUGGGCCGUCGAGCCCGCUGCCGUGGCGGGUCUCAUGCCGCGCGGCACCGUUCCCGAUACG